CGGGAAGUAGCUCAGCCUUGGUAGAGCACUUGGUUUGGGACCAAGGGUCGCAGGUUCGAAUCCUGUCUUCCGACCA
rnacentral:tRNA from 1 species